UCUGCCACGCCUGCUCACCCGCCAGCUUGGAUGACUCUCCCGGCCGCAUGGCAGUACCAGCCUGUCUGGGAUGAGCCACCACUCUGCCACUCGCCACAGGAAAUCUGUACCACUCACGCCAGCAUUAUUUUUUAAGGAAUAUUAGACCUUGCUUUAUAACUGGCUUUCAAGUGGUCCUAUAGCAUGAACUGGACUAUCUACUCUCCUCCAUUUGGUUGUGGGGACCAAAAGUAUCUUAGGAUUUUUCUUUACAAGUCUAAGAAUCUAUCUGACUUCUUUGCUAUGAUUGUUAGUGGUGUUUCGAUCGUGAAAAAAUUGAGAACUGGGAGAAUACAAGUUUUCCAUGAAAACUUGGAAGUUAUUAAAGGUGCAAUAUGUCUGUGGGCUAGUGGAGAGUCAAAAUGCACAUUGCUCAGAGUUUGUGACGCUCACCCACCUGCAUACGGACAGAACUGGUGGUGAAUAGUCAGAUAGGAGCCAGUUUCUUCUCUCCUCAGUGCAAAGGAUCCUGGAGAAAGGACCAAAGGACCAUUCCAUCUGUACAGUGAGUGGGAAGUAGCAGCAGCAAUUUUUUAGGUUUUGAAAAGACAUUCAACAGUCUUUGAUGUCAGUGGCUCCAGUUUCCAUCAGGAGCUUAAAACUAUCAUAAUGAGUACAUCCAAAGAAUCAUGUGAUGAGGACAACAGCUCACUAAUUAUUAUGCAUGUGUACAUUGUGAUUCUAGAUGCACUUUUGGCCACCCUUUGGUGUGUCUUUAUGAGAUACUUUAAUGGCUUGCACAAUAUUUAGUUUUGAUUUUCAAACUGGUAGCCAGUCAUUGUUUCUGGGUAAUGAAAAUUAUCCAGUAUGGCUUGUGGGAGAUGGUUUUCUGCUGUGUGAUCAUGUGACUAUUCUCUUAUUGUAUAGAAAACAUGCAUGUUUUGUUUACUGAAGAAAAUUUCAAAGGAAAACUACCUCCAGUAAGGGUCAUAAUCCUUGAAGAGUCAGAAUAUUAGUGUUAUUUCACAUAUAUGUAAAUGGAGCCCUAGCACGCCUUGUCUAUGCAAUCUCUUCUGGGGGGCUAUCUCUCCCACUUCAUCUCCUGCUCCUGCACCCAGGUCCAGAAAGGGAAUAGCAUGCUUUCCUUUCUUGGUCUCCAAAAUUGUGUUGCUCUUUCUUCUCUGUCGACUUUAUUCUGCUCCACUCCCAUCUCCCAGGGAACCCAUUUCUCUUCCUUUGCAUACACCGCAAAGCCCAUUUCCUCAAAUUACCCACCAGUGUCACUCAGACUAAACUGUUUUCUGUGGAAAUGUGCAAAAUUGUUUUCUAAUUUCAGGUACAGAUGUGACUACAGCUUGUUUAGAAGUAGUUUUUUAAAAUAUAUUUUAGACUCUUGAAUUUUAAGAUCCUAGAAAGCAAGAGCACUGUUUUUCUCAGGUCAGAAGGUAGGUUUGUGAGAGCAUUAACCACAGAUGUCAAAUUCACACUCUCAAGGCCCUUACCUAUCCAUGGAGCAAGCACAGACACAAUUGGUGUCAUCAUCUCAGGUCCAUGGUGUAUCUUUAUCAGGAAACGUAUGGUCUAAGUCUGAGAACAGAUUAAAAGAUUUCUGCUACAGGAGGACUAUUUUGGGAUGGCUAAUGAAGUCCUUUGUCUCUAACAAGGGGUCCUAUGUCCUGAAAGCACCCUUCCAUUUGUGUUAGGUCAAUUCAUUAAAAUGCUGUUGUUUUGGUGGGGAAUCCUUGGUAAACAUACGAACUCCUGCUCGCAAUUUUUAUUUUACCUUCGGCCACUGUCUCCUUCUCUUAUAGGUGAAAACUAUGGCUAAUUGCGAUGCGGUACUAAGCCAUCAGAGCUUGACAGAGAACUUUGUAUUAUGUGUGCCACCUCGGUAACAAAGGACAGUAUCUAUAUCAGCAAGGAAACUUCUAUCCCUGCCCAGCUCUUUUCUGGAGAAUUCAUGCCUUACAAAGGAAACUUGAUUGAUUAUUCCUCGAAGCUGGGCAAUUCAAACAUGGACAUCCACACUAUGAGCUCCCUCAGCUCUCAGAGGAUCAGUGAGGUGUACCCAUGAUGGCCAUAACUUCUAGACAAUAUGUGGUUACCAAAUCAGCAUUUUCUGAACUCAAAGCAGUUGCCCACUGCAAACCUGAGAUCUUGCUGUGUAGCUCAAGCUAGCCUCCAACUUCCCAUUCUUCACUCUCAGACUCCCCGCAAUUGUCAUCAUUUGCCUGUGCCACUAUACCCA